rnacentral:rRNA from 1 species
AUUGAACGCUGGCGGCAUGCCUUACACAUGCAAGUCGAACGGUAACAGGUCUUUCGGGAUGCUGACGAGUGGCGAACGGGUGAGUAAUACAUCGGAACGUGCCUAGUAGUGGGGGAUAACUACUCGAAAGAGUGGCUAAUACCGCAUGAGAUCUAUGGAUGAAAGCAGGGGACCUUCGGGCCUUGUGCUACUAGAGCGGCCGAUGGCAGAUUAGGUAGUUGGUGGGAUAAGAGCUUACCAAGCCUACGAUCUGUAGCUGGUCUGAGAGGACGAUCAGCCACACUGGGACUGAGACACGGCCCAGACUCCUGCGGGAGGCAGCAGUGGGGAAUUUUGGACAAUGGGCGCAAGCCUGAUCCAGCAAUGCCGCGUGCAGGAUGAAGGCCUUCGGGUUGUAAACUGCUUUUGUACGGAACGAAAAGUCUUGGGUUAAUACCCUGGGAUCAUGACGGUACCGUAAGAAUAAGCACCGGCUAACUACGUGCCAGCAGCCGCCGCCGUAA